AUUGAACGCUGGCGGCAGGCCUAACACAUGCAAGUCGAACGAGUGGCGGACGGGUGAGUAAUGUCUGGGAAACUGCCUGAUGGAGGGGGAUACCUACUGGAAACGGUAGCUAAUACCGCAUACCAUCGGAUGUGCCCAGAUGGGAUUAGCUAGUAGGUGGGGUAACGGCUCACCUGGGCGAAGAUCCCUAGCUGGUCUGAGAGGAUGACCAGCCACACUGGAACUGAGACACGGUCCAGACGCCGACGGGAGGCAGCAGGGGGGAAUAUUGCACAAUGGGCGAAAGCCUGAUGCAGCCAUGCCGCGUGUAUGAAGAAGGCCUUCGGGUUGUAAAGUACUUUCAGCGGGGAGGCGUUACCCGCAGAAGAAGCACCGGCUAACUCCGUGCCAGCAGCCGCGGUAAUAC
rnacentral:rRNA from 1 species